AUGAACGCUGACAGAAUGCUUAACACAUGCAAGUCGAUGGGGAAGUGGUGCUUGCACCAUGGUAACCAUGGCGGACGGGUGAGUAACACGUAAGGAACUUACCUGCGGGACCGGGAUAACAGCAGGAAACUGCUGACAAGACCGGAUAAGGUCAUUAAGCUGCAUAGCUUAGUGAUGAAAGGAGACGCCUGCGGAGAGCCUUGCGUCCUAUUAGCUAGUUGGAGGGGUAACGGCCCACCAAGGCGAAGAUAGGUAGCCGGCCUGAGAGGGUGGACGGCCACAAGGGGACUGAGAUACGGCCCUUACUCCUACGGGAGGCAGCAGUGGGGAAUAUUGGACAAUGGGGGCAACCCUGAUCCAGCAAUUCUGUGUGCACGAAGACGGUUUUCGGAUUGUAAAGUGCUUUCAGCAGGGAAGAAGGAAGUGACGGUACCUGCAGAAGAAGCGACGGCUAAAUACGUG
rnacentral:rRNA from 1 species